rnacentral:rRNA from 1 species
GACGAACGCUGGCGGCGUGCUUAACACAUGCAAGUCGUACGGUAAGGCCCUUUCGGGGGUCCACGAGUGGCGAACGGGUGAGUAACACGUGAGUAACCUGCCCACAACUUUGGGAUAACGCUAGGAAACUGGUGCUAAUACUGGAUAUGUGCUCCUGCUGCAUGGUGGGGGUUGGAAAGCUCCGGCGGUUGUGGAUGGACUCGCGGCCUAUCAGCUUGUUGGUGGGGUAGUGGCCUACCAAGGCGGCGACGGGUAGCCGGCCUGAGAGGGUGACCGGCCACAUUGGGACUGAGAUACGGCCCAGACUCCUACGGGAGGCAGCAGUGGGGAAUAUUGCACAAGGGGCGCAAGCCUGAUGCAGCAACGCCGCGUGCGGGAUGACGGCCUUCGGGUUGUAAAACGCUUUCAGCAGGGACGAAGCUUUUUGUGACGGUACCUGCAGAAGAAGCACCGGCUAACUACGUG